rnacentral:rRNA from 1 species
GCGGCAGGCUAAUACAUGCAAGUCGAACGGCAGCACAGCAGAGCUGCUCUGUGGGUGGCGAGUGGCGGACGGGUGAGGAAUACGUGGGAAUCUGCCCAGUCGUGGGGGAUAACGUAGGGAAACUUACGCUAAUACCGCAUGCGCCCUUCGGGGGAAAGCCGGGGAUCUUCGGACCUGGCGCGAUUGGAUGAGCCCACGUCGGAUUAGCUAGUUGGGGGGGUAAAGGCCCACCAAGGCUACGAUCCGUAGCUGGUCUGAGAGGAUGAUCAGCCACACUGGAACUGAGACACGGUCCAGACUCCUACGGGAGGCAGCAGUAGGGAAUAUUGGACAAUGGGCGCAAGCCUGAUCCAGCCAUGCCGCGUGUGUGAAGAAGGCCUUCGGGUUGUAAAGCACUUUUAUCCGGAAAGAAAAGCGCUGGGUUAAUACCCUGGUGUUCUGACGGUACCGGAAGAAUAAGCACCGGCUAACUUCGUGCCAGCAGCCGCGGUAAUACGAAGGGUGCAAGCGUUACUCGGAAUUACUGGGCGUAAAGCGUGCGUAGGUGGUUUGUUAAGUCUGAUGUGAAAGCCCUGGGCUCAACCUGGGAAUUGCAUUGGAUACUGGCAAGCUAGAGUGCGGUAGAGGGUAGUGGAAUUCCCGGUGUAGCAGUGAAAU